AAAGAGUAAUAGUGAGAGGGUGACGUUGUCUCCGACAACGCCACGUUCGAUGUCGUAACCAGUGUCGUAGUGAACCGAACGCCGAGAUGUGGAGAAAUAAUUUUUAAAAAAUUCUUUUUAAAACAUUAUGAAUAUGUAUCUUCCACAUAUUUUAUAGAACACUAAGUGUUUAUUAUUUGAGAGAGACUUUGAAACGUUGCUGCUAUUUCUGGCAGACCCGUACGAUCGACCGGCCUGCCUGCCCUUCCCUCCACGUCGCGGCUGUUGCUGGUUGCGUGUGUGUGUGUGUGUGUGUGUGCGCGCGCUUCCGGAAUAAUUCGUUGUUUUCCGUCCAUUUCCGACAACAACAAGAUACUAGACGUCGCGAAGAUGGCGGAUAAGAUAGACAUGUCUCUGGAUGAAAUCAUCAAAUUGAACGGAGUAUCGAAGAGGGGACAGGGUGGCCGAGGAAAUCGAGGGAGGGGCAGCUAUGGCCGAGGUCGCAGGUAUCGGGGUAGAGGCCAAGCGAACACAACGACCGGUGCAUCAUCAAGUGCGGGCACGAGCCUUAAAACGAGGGGUAGACGCGGUAGAGUUUGGUCGAGAAGGUCCACAGGCAGGAGUACCCAGUCCCUCAGUCAACAGAAUUUGAUUCCAUCACAGAAAACCGCUACAAAUAGCACAAACACUUCA
rnacentral:lncRNA from 1 species